AGAGCGAACGCUGGCGGCAGGCUUAACACAUGCAAGUCGAGCGGGCGUAGCAAUACGGUCAGCGGCAGACGGGUGAGUAACGCGUGGGAACAUACCUCUUGGUUCGGGAACAACACAGGGAAACUUGUGCUAAUACCGGAUAAGCCCUUACGGGGAAAGAUUUAUCGCCGAGAGAUUGGCCCGCGUCUGAUUAGCUAGUUGGUAGGGUAAUGGCCUACCAAGGCGACGAUCAGUAGCUGGUCUGAGAGGAUGAUCAGCCACAUUGGGACUGAGACACGGCCCAAACUCCUACGGGAGGCAGCAGUGGGGAAUAUUGGACAAUGGGGGCAACCCUGAUCCAGCCAUGCCGCGUGAGUGAUGAAGGCCCUAGGGUUGUAAAGCUCUUUUGUGCGGGAAGAUAAUGACGGUACCGCAAGAAUAAGCCCCGGCUAACUUCGUGCCAGCAGCCGC
rnacentral:rRNA from 1 species